CUCAGGCUGGGGGUGGGGGCAUGUGCUGGGCGGACCCGGCCAGCCGGGUGGAGCGGAGGCAGUACAGCAGCAGAGCACACUUCUGUUCCCACUCAUAGGACCUGCAGUGAGAGGGCUCCCUCCUCGGCUCUGGUGGAAGGAAAUGUCGCUUCCCGGUUGUGGGAUGGUCAGUGGCCACAGGCAGGUCAUCUGGACUCUGUGCUUCCUACUGCUUCUCCUGGAAGCUGCUUUUGCCAAGAAUAUCUGGAAACGGACGCUGCACACCAGGGUGACUGAGAAGUCCCGCAUGGAACCCCAUGCAGACCGCUGCCCACCACCCCCUCGAUCGCUGCCCCCGAGUGCCUGCCAGGUUGCACGCUGUCAAGCCGACUCUGAGUGCCCGCACCGUCGGCGCUGCUGCUAUAAUGGCUGCGUCUACACCUGCCUAGAGUUGGUGCCUCUCCCACCAGUUUUAGACUGGCUGGUACAGCCGAAACCUCGAUGGCUUGGUGGCAAUGGCUGGCUCCUGGACGGCCCUCAGGAAGUAUUGCAAGCAGAGGCAUGCAGCACCACGGAGGAUGGGGCAGAGCCACUCCUCUGUCCCUCGGGCUAUGAGUGCCACAUCCUGAACCCAGGUGACGUGGCGAAGGGCAUUCCCAACCGAGGUCAAUGUGUCAAGCAGCGCGAGCAGACAGAUGGGCGCUUCCCAGGACACAGGUUUUACAAAGAAUAUCCAGAGGGUGAUUAUAAGAACGUGGCAGAAAAUGGCAAAGGACGACCAACGCAUGCUCACUAAAGUUCCAGGAGCAGGUAAAUGGAGGAAUCUAAAUCCAAAGGCUGGACUUGGUUGUGACUUUCCUUUACAUUUCCACUCCUGACACCUCCAUGAAUGGGCAAAGAGACCUCCAUGUUCCCACCUCUGCUUCCUGCGUCUGUCCCUCUGACACAACACUAUCGAUCAUGAACCUUAGGAGAGCCAGUCUGAAAGCACAUUGUUCUGCCUUGAAAACAGUUGGGUACAAAGGAUUUGAGCCCCGCUGCCAUCCCCCAGAAGUCACACUCAGCUCAGCAGAGCAUGACCUUGGAGAUACUUAGAAACAGACACUGGGCUGUCAUCUCCUGUCUAGCCCUACCAGACUGAGUGGCUUUGUGACAGACGACACUGGCACUGCAGCCCUGUUUUAUCAUCCUAGAAUGUCCAGUGAUGCUACCCAGGAAAAAAUUGGAGCCUCUGGGAGCAGCCCUUGGGGAUUCUCUCUGAGAUGGAGUUCAGUGUCAUGAUUAUUUACUGAAAUUUCUAGAGCUGACUCUGGAGGCAUGUAUCCACCCCAGGUGUGCUCAAAAUAAACCUACUCAUCAUCAAACAGAA